rnacentral:lncRNA from 1 species
GCCCUUCGCCUAUUCCAACGACUUCCGCUUUCCAAAUUGUAACACCUGGAAGUAGAAUUCCAGAGUGGUUCAAUAAUCAAACUGUAGGAGAUUCCUUAAUUGUGGAGCUACCUCCAUGUACCACGUCCAUUUGGAUUGCUUUUUGUGCUGUCUUUGAAGAAGGUGCCCCUGUGGAUCACCCAAAUCCACCUCAUGACCUUUCUACCUAUUUUCGAAUUGAAUGUCGCCCAGGAGAAGGUCGCCCUGUGCAUAGUUUUGGAAUUAAUAAAGGCCAUCUUGUGUCACCUCACCUUUGGGUAUCUUGUGUAUAUCAUUUUGUAGUCGACAAA